rnacentral:rRNA from 1 species
UACGUAGGGUGCAAGCGUUUGUCCGGAAUUAUUUGGGCGUAAAGAGCUCGUAGGCGGUUUGUCGCGUCGAAUGUGAAAACCCGGGGCUCAACUCCGGGCCUGCAUUCGAUACGGGCAGACUAGAGUUCGGUAGGGGAGACUGGAAUUCCUGGUGUAGCGGUGAAAUGCGCAGAUAUCAGGAGGAACACCGGUGGCGAAGGCGGGUCUCUUGGGCCGAAACUGGACGCUGAGGAGCGAAAGCGUGGGGAGCGAA